rnacentral:rRNA from 1 species
UACGAAGGGUGCAAGCGUUACUCGGAAUUACUGGGCGUAAAGCGUGCGUAGGUGGUUUGUUAAGUCUGAUGUGAAAGCCCUGGGCUCAACCUGGGAAUUGCAUUGGAUACUGGCAGGCUAGAGUGCGGUAGAGGAUGGCGGAAUUCCCGGUGUAGCAGUGAAAUGCGUAGAGAUCGGGAGGAACAUCUGUGGCGAAGGCGGCCAUCUGGACCUUACCUGACGCUGAGACGCGAAAGCGUGGGGAGCGAACCGG